rnacentral:rRNA from 1 species
UACGUAGGGGGCAAGCGUUGUUCGGAAUUACUGGGCGUAAAGGGCUCGUAGGCGGCCAACUAAGUCAGACGUGAAAUCCCUCGGCUUAACCGGGGAACUGCGUCUGAUACUGGAUGGCUUGAAUCCGGGAGAGGGAUGCGGAAUUCCAGGUGUAGCGGUGAAAUGCGUAGAUAUCUGGAGGAACACCGGUGGCGAAGGCGGCAUCCUGGACCGGCAUUGACGCUGAGGAGCGAAAGCCAGGGGAGCAAA